rnacentral:rRNA from 1 species
GAAGCAAGCAUGGGAAUAUUGCACAAUGGGGGAAACCUUAAUGCAGCCAUGCCGCGUGUGUAAGAAGGCCUUCGGGUUGUAAAGCACUUUCAGUUGUGAGGAAAAGUUAGUAGUUAAUACCUGCUAGCCGUGACGUUAACAACAGAAGAAGCACCGGCUAACUCCGUGCCAGCAGCCGCGGUAAUACGGAGGGUGCGAGCGUUAAUCGGAAUUACUGGGCGUAAAGCGCACGCAGGCGGUUUGUUAAGCUAGAUGUGAAAGCCCCGGGCUCAACCUGGGAUGGUCAUUUAGAACUGGCAGACUAGAGUCUUGGAGAGGGGAGUGGAAUUCCAGGUGUAGCGGUGAAAUGCGUAGAUAUCUGGAGGAACAUCAGUGGCGAAGGCGACUCCCUGGCCAAAGACUGACGCUCAUGUGCGAAAGUGUGGGUAGCGAACAGGAUUAGAUACCCUGGUAGUCCACACCGUAAACGCUGUCUACUAGCUGUGUGUGCCUUUAAGGCGUGCGUAGCGAAGCUAACGCGCUAAGUAGACCGCCUGGGGAGUACGGCCGCAAGGUUAAAACUCAAAUGAAUUGACGGGGGCCCGCACAAGCGGUGGAGCAUGUGGUUUAAUUCGAUGCAACGCGAAGAACCUUACCUACACUUGACAUGCUGAGAAGUUACUAGAGAUAGUUUCGUGCCUUCGGGAACUCAGACACAGGUGCUGCAUGGCUGUCGUCAGCUCGUGUCGUGAGAUGUGGGUUAA